UGGUGCAGUGCCGCCCUCGUGCGGGUCCCAGGCGGUGCCCAGGUACCAGCCCUUGUAGUGCUAAGGGCUGCUCUGCUCAUGCUGCCCCAUCGACUAGCUGGGACCCCCAGGACUCCUGGGUUCAAUCUCCAGCGCUGCCCUGAUUGGCUGGGACCUUGGACAGGUCCCUUAGUGUUGCGAUACCGCAGUUUGCAAAAGUGGGGUGUCAACGCAGUCCCAUGUCUGCCAGCGAGCCCGAAGUGAGGCAGGGUCAGCCCCUGCUGCACUGGUGCGGACUUGCCAGGGGCCUGUCUGCCUGCAUCCUGCUGGCUCUGUAUGCAGCGUUCAGCACUUCUGAUCACAAAAUGCCUCUCCCGCCUCCAAGAAGCUGCAGGAAGGAACUUAAGUGCCAAACCCGCAGGCCUGCAAAUGUUGUUCUUCCACUCCCAGAACUGCUUCCUGAAGCGUUCUUCCAGAUUGGGCCAGUGCUGCACUUCAUCCACAGAAAGCCGUUAGGCUGGGGCCUUGAUUGGUAAAGUAAACACAGAAUGAAAGGAAAGCAGCGUGUAGAUGAUCCUCUCAGCUCAAUUUCUCUUUUACAGGAUGUGUAAAAGUCCUCUUGAUGCCACAUGGAGAUCUGCACCAGGAUGAAAGAUAGCUGGCUAAUGCUGAACCUAAGCAAGACUGAGGCUGUGCAGAGAAGAAAUGCCAGAAGGAGGAGAUUGUGGGUGCAAACCUCAGCCCUUCAACUUCCCAGCAUAGCCAGGUCAACACAACUAUUAUUCACCUUGAACACCUUGCUUUUGUUUAAUGGGAAAGCCAGACAAGUGGACAGCACUUAUCAUCGUGGGAAUGAAGGAGCAUGAUCCGUAGGAAUGGGAUACAGUUGCUGAAUUGCAUUGAGAUGUCAUCAAGUUAGACACUAAUCCGGUACAUAUUGUAUCCAUUUUAAACUUUCUCUUAGCCACCUGCUUAAUAAUACCUUUGUUCAUUGCAACACAAGUUUGAAUGCAGGAUGAGUUUACUAUUGGACCUGUACUAUUGAGCUUGGCAUGCAACAUCAUUUUAUUAGCCCCCAGAGCUCAUAAAACAGCAAAAGAUAAUAGGCAUUUUUCUACUGUUAUCUGAGUUGUAUUUGUUCAUAUUACAUAAGCCAGCUGCAGGGAAAGGAGAAGAUAAGUAACUUGUGCAACAGUUUGUUGACCUCAAAGUUCAGAUGCUCCAAAGAGCAUCUCAGUAAGAGCAGCUGUAAGGAAAAGAGAAUGAAAUCGACAGGUGAAACCACAUAUUUGAUAUUUUGAACGUACAUAUUUUGUCACAUGCACUAUAUUUUCAGAGCCCAAAUCCCAGUCCUGUUGAAUCAAUGGCAAAACUCCUAUUGAGAACAAACAGAGAAGGAUUUGUUUCAGUUGAGAGCAUGCAGAGCAGUACUAAUGGAGUGACUAUAGAAAAAGGUGCUCUGGAUGUGUAAUAAAAACUAAAAGUUCAGCAACUUGACUUUCUUAACACUUUAUCCCCAAAUUAACAAAAGCAAUGUACUUUUUUUUUUUACCUUGCCCCCUUUUUUUUACCUUGCCCCCUAUAUUUUUAAAAUCCUAAAUACCUUAAAGUCUAACUGCAAACACGUUUAAUGCUAGUAAACUUUGUUGAGUGGUUUACUUUAGCAUAUCUAAAAACUGAUUAAGCAAAAAAAAAUAAAUUUCACUUUAAAGCAGAGAUUUGACAGCAAUUUUUGCCCAUCAAGUUUUAUAAAAGCUCAGCAUUGUUAUUCUGUCUCUUUCCCUGUCCCCGACCAGUGACAUUAUGAUAACUGAGAUUCGGUCAGAAUGUACAUUCUUAGGCGAUUCUGCAAUUGGAUCUGCAUGGAUAGACCCUUGCACUCACAUGGAAUCCCUUAGCAUUAUGGCAUAGGGGGUGAGAGGGUAGGGGAGAAAGAAAUAACUGUAUAUAUAAUUAAAUAAUAGUUCACCCAACUAGAUCUAUUUGUUAAGAAUUCAUCUGUAAUAAAACAGAA